rnacentral:rRNA from 1 species
GGCGAAAGCCUGAAGGAGCGACGCCGCGUGGAGGAUGAAGGCUUUCGGGUUGUAAACUCCUGUCAUUUGAGAACAAGUGUAGCUAAGUAACUACUGGCUACUUGAUAGUAUCAGAAGAGGAGGGGACGGCUAACUCUGUGCCAGCAGCCGCGGUAAUACAGAGGUCCCAAGCGUUGUUCGGAUUCAUUGGGCGUAAAGGGUGCGUAGGUGGCGCCGUCAGUGGGGUGUGAAAUUUCGGAGCUUAACUCCGAAACUGCAUUCCAUACUGCGGUGCUUGAGGACUGGAGAGGAGACUGGAAUUCAUGGUGUAGCAGUGAAAUGCGUAGAGAUCAUGAGGAAGACCGGUGGCGAAGGCGGGUCUCUGGACAGUUCCUGACACUGAGGCACGAAGGCUAGGGGAGCGAACGGGAUUAGAUACCCCGGUAGUCCUAGCAAUAAACGGUGCACGUUUGGUGUGAGAGGAUUCGACCCCUUUCGCGCCGGAGCUAACGCGUUAAACGUGCCGCCUGGGGAGUACGGUCGCAAGACUAAAACUCAAAGGAAUUGACGG